GCUAAAUAACCAAGACAAGGUUAAGUUCUUCAAAGCUGUUCAAACGAUCCUGGGUUUAGGCCUGACUUACAGAAGGAGGGACAUAGGGAGCUCCUCUUACUUAAGGUCAACUUCAAGAAUGAGCGAGAUGAACAGAAGCCGUGGUGCCCAGGAUGGUCGUGUAGCUGGGUGCACAUUAUGGUAUAUCAAUAGAUAGCUGUGUUCGACACAACCGCGCAUUCAAUAUACAUAAUGGAAAGAUCCGUGCCAUAUGGGCGACUCGUCUUUUGUCUCUCGGAAUAGGACAAUGUUGUUGUGAUGUGCAUCUUUGUUUGCUGAUUACUGCUGAGAUGCAAACAUGGAAGACUGCUUGAAUGGGCGAAGAUGUUCCGGGCAAGAUUUCUUCAGGAGCUCCAUUGUUCGUCUGCUACAAUGAAGAACAUUCUAAUGCAAUGUUAUUUAUUGCUGGUAUUUAUGGAAGUCAAUAGGAUUAAUAGAUUGAGUAUUUUGGAAAGUAAGUACAUUUACAUACAGCCUUGGGUUGUGAAAGGUGUAAGAACCUAUGAUUA